AUGCCCUACCGCGAAAUUUUGCUAAGUAUUGAACAUAGUGCGUGCUCGUGCCUACCGCCGAGCACCUUGGCGGUAGGGUUGUACAUGCUACCGCCAUUCUGUUUGGCGGUAGGGAUGUUUCCUACCGCCAAGGUCCCUAGCGGUAGGCUGUUACACCCUACCGCCAUGGACCCUGGCGGUAGCAAAAAGGUCAGAUCUCGAAAAAAAUUCAAACUAGGGUCAGAUCUCGAAUAG
rnacentral:rRNA from 1 species